rnacentral:lncRNA from 1 species
GCAAUGGUCUAGGUUGCAUACCCAAGUGAUAAGCAAAAUAUUACGAAUCAAAUCGUAGAUAGGACCCAUGGUCAAACAAAUAUUUACAUUCUUUCAUAAGCAUGCAUAAUACCUUCGAUCACUAAUUCAGAAGUUUUAGAAUCAUAUUCAGUAAUAGCAUACACUCUGAUAUGGGCAGAUGAUUUAUGAGGCAGUGACUCUUUCUUAUUGUUCAAAGGGUAGUCUUUUAUUUUAUGAUCCAACUUUCCGCACGCAAAAUAGACU